CUUUUUUUAAAUUCAUUUUCCAAUCACCGCAAUGAUUUAUUCGUGAGUUCUGAAUGCUUGUGCGUAAUCCAGUGAUGGGCUUCAAGAAAAUGACAGUUCGAAAUAUCAAAAAAUUUUGUUUAAAUUAUUAUGUUUAUGGGCAGCACUUUUUGUGACUACAAAUUCAUUUGAGUGGAAAGCGCGUUUUUCUGAAAGAAUUUACAAAUGUGUCAGCAGCUACAUUUUGGGCGAAUGGUUAUACAUAUUAAUAGCAGGCAGCUGUUGGAGGAGGAGCAUUUCGGCGCAGCUGAGGGCCGCGGAGUGCUUGGUGCCAAAGUUCCGACAUUUGGGCAACGCCAAACAGCCAAUCAACCGGGUUGACAAGCGCCAACAGUUCAUUAGCAUUUAUGCGCGAAGAUGAAAAGUAAAAACUAAGAGCAGACGCAUACAUAUAUACAUACACAUAUAUGUGUCUACAUGUGUGCAUGCGAAUUUGCGCAACGGUGUCAUUUUGAAAUUUUUAAAAUUUCUUUUAUUCCCGUGCCGUGAAAACAUACUUUUCGAGAAUGCAAAUGUGUGUUGAGAAAUUCUGAGAAAACACUUAAAAGUUUACACAAGCGCAUUUCUGCAGUUUAUGAUUUUAACGGCCGCCACACCGCCGCAUAGCCACAUAUUAUGCGUAAUAUCUUUGAGAUUGUGCAUCUGAGUGCCGAGAUCUUUUUUCGUUUUUUCAACUUUUUUAUUUUAUUUUUAUUAUUUUUGAUACUCGAUUUUGCUAUGUACACAUGGUGUAUUAGGUAUGUUCAGCUAAUGGUGAUACAGUUGCGGUCAAAAUCUUAGUAGUGAUUUUGCUGAAUAUAUAUAAGUCAUCAUAAAUUUGUAUUACAGUCUUUUUUUCGCUUUCAACGUAAAUACCGUUAGGUUAAGGCGCAGACAUGACGAUCUGCAUUGGUUUGUUAAGCUAGAAUUAUUGUUGUUAUUGCAAUCCGCAAAGUUUUGAGGAAAAAUUGUGUUUUUGAUCAGUCAAAUUCUUAGUAGCGCAAUCAAGAAUAGUUCAGAAAAAUAAAUUUAUUUUUGUUUUUGGGAUGAAAAAAUUAAAAAAUCGAUAGAACUAUUUCUGUUACCAGUAUGCUGUUUUAUAAUGUGAAAAUUUUGAUCGUGCUGCAUGUAGUGAUGUCAAGAACAAAGAAUUGUACACGGGCUCUUAUUAAAAAGCUGAUUGGUUGCUCCCCCACGAUGGUCCGAAACGCUAUAAAAUACAAACCGGGUGUCGAAAAAGGCUGGCGGAAACGUGUAAUGCCCGCUCAAUUGGUUAAGUCUGCUGUAAAAUAUUCCAAAAAAAAUAUCCGUUUGCGGCGUACGGGAAAAAGAUCUGACAGCUCGGAGCCCCAAACGAUUACGUUUCGCCAAAACCAUUUGACUUGGAUUUUUACAAAUGGUCUGACAGUCAAGAAUUGUUCGCUAUGGUGGAAAAGGUUCAAGGCAGUUUAUAAGACGUCCACCCAACAGCCCACCUGAUCCAAAAUUUACCACUAAAACGGUAAAACAUGGUUGAUCCAGCAUUAUGGUUUGAGCAUGCUUUUCAUGGUAUGGAGUUAGACUCAUUCAUUGGAUCAAGGAGGCCAUGAAUGCUGCCCAAUACGUGCAAAUCAUGCAGGAGGUCAUGCUUCCAUAUGCUAACGAGGAAAUGCCACUGACUUAGACCUUUCAACAGGACAACGAUCCGAAGCAUACUAGCAAGCUUGCAAAGAAGCGGCUUGGAGACAACCGAAUAAAUGUUAUGGAAUGGCCUCCACAGUCUCCUGACAAUAACCCGAUAGAAAAUAUGUGCUUGUCCGCGCUACUAAGAUUAUGACCGCAGCGGUAUAUAACGGUGGAAAAUAGGCGAGUAAGAUAUGGAGAUAUAAGGGAUCGUUUAUAUGUUCGUUGUUCGGUGGAAAAAAGAUCGCACUUUUAUUUCAUUUUUCAUACGUGUAUAUUUAACU